UACGUAGGGCGCAAGCGUUGUCCGGAAUUAUUGGGCGUAAAGAGCUCGUAGGCGGUCUGUUGCGUCCGCUGUGAAAACUCGGGGCUUAACCCCGAGCCUGCAGUGGAUACGGGCAGACUAGAGGUAGGUAGGGGAGAAUGGAAUUCCCGGUGUAGCGGUGAAAUGCGCAGAUAUCGGGAGGAACACCGGUGGCGAAGGCGGUUCUCUGGGCCUUAACUGACGCUGAGGAGCGAAAGCGUGGGGAGCAAACAGG
rnacentral:rRNA from 1 species